GCGAGGUUAAUUACAAACAAAGACCACCUCAAUCUUGGCUCCCCCUUUCCUCUUUUCGUUUCAAGUUCCAUCUUGUAAAUAUAGAAGACACUUAGUGCACUUAGUUUCGAGGAGGAAAACACGAGCUGAUGACACGGCAUCAGAUUGCUGUCUUGAGAGUAAGGUUCACAGCAAUGUUAAAAAGACGAAACGAAAGUAAGAAGAACAGAAAAUAAUGUUGAUAAAAAUAAAAGAAACAAGUCAGACAAAGAACAAAGAGUAAACAAGACAGAAAAGAAUGAAAAAAUGAAGUAAAGAAAGAGUGGACAGCAGAACAGACGAACGGAAAACUGAAAACAAGAUAUAUAGAAAGCUGGACCAUCUCUACAUCUUUGUAUCCCAUUCUUAGAGUAUGAUUGACUCUGAUCCGCGGUGUACAUCAUCUUAUCAUUUUUGUCUACAUGCCACACCUUGUGAAGAUGGUCUUUCAAUGACUUCAUGCCAUGUGGUUACACAGCUAUAACCAACCGGAUGUGGCUUUCAUCAGAAAGACAAUAAGCACAUGGAUGACGGCCCCACCCUACACUCGUGUAGUCGGUUUAAUUUUUAUUUAUUCUCUUUUUCAUAGCUACCCAUGAGUACUAGGAGUGGCCAGCCUAUCGAUCAUAAACAGGUACUCGGGGUGCUGAUAACAGCGUCCACACCUGCAUCGUUGCAUGAUGACAGCCAUCACGUGCAGAUGGUGGCUACGUUCUCCACCCUGGAGAGCCGCGGUCCUCCGGCUCUUGACUGCGACCCACCCCGACCACGGGUGUAGAAAACCGUUAGACAAUCGAUAGAGGGAGCAGGCGUUCCUGUUUGAACACAUCAACCGUUGACUGUUUUUUCCUCCUCCACGGGGCGUGCUUAUCAGAGAUUUAUCAAAGAUCGAACGACAAUGGCUGUUAUCAAAUAUUGCACAUGGCCACGACAUGUUUGUAAAAGAACUGAACUAUAACGGUGGUAGAAAAUGGCGUCAAGGGUUAGACAGAACAUAUUUGUCUUCAUAAAAUACGAUUCGAGUCUAUUUUUUUCCCAGUAAGCGAGAAUGUACCCGCAAAAAACGUUUAGCUAAUCGUCUCGACCGUUGAUUAGUAUGUUUACCCCUUUGUUUUGUGCAGGUACUGGUGGAAAUUUAAUGUUACUAUGACUUUGAUUCUUGUGGGUUUUUUUUAGAUCUUUAAUUAAUACAUUGAACUUAUUGUCAAACACAACAUGUUUCAUUUCGUUAUUGUACGCUGACGUGGAAGUAAAGAAAGACAGAAAAAUUUUGAUAAUACAUCAAUGAAAAUCUUGAUAAUUAGGAGGAAAAAGAAAACAACAAUGAAAGGCAAAUGUUGCCAUGAGAACCAACCGGCAUCAACAAGAAGAACAGCAACAACGACGAUAUCAUUGCCAGAGCGAUGUCACCAGAUCGUUGCGAUUUGAAUGUUCUAGAACAUUUCACACGAAGAUACAGUUGCCGACUGACGUCACCUCAGAGUAGUGGUCCCUUGUUGUCCAUCGUAACGACCUUUGUUUGUCUUUGUCAAGUGAACUCAACCGAACCUUCUAGGAUGCUGAGGGUGAGUCACUUUUUUUUUAAAGUCAGUCUUAUGUUUGGCAAAUGGGGAUGUGAAGAUUCAUAUCCUCAUCUCCGCUGUUGUGUCAACAUUAGGGAUGCGAAAGUCAGGCCGUAGUUUACAUCAACAAUCGAAUCUUCUGAAAAGGGUGUUGUUCCUAAAGGCUGGGUGCAAUCAAUACCCGUUCACGAGCUGUAGCCCUCUAUCUUGUUUAUAUGUUCGCGUGUUCUCACUUCAGAGAGAGUGGUUGGCUGCUGACCUUACCGUGACCUGUACUCGCCAGGGUUUUCGUGUUCACACUACCCGACUGGACCUGAGACAUGAUAUCACACAGUGUUGUUCACGAGAGUCUUGUUCUUACAAUUACACAAUAUUUUAUGAUCUUUCGAUUUUUUUUCUUGGACGGUUGAGGACUUUAAAAAUAAGAAUAUCCAAUACACUCCAAGAUCUUUUGGAUGGAUGGACGCUUGGUGGUCGAUAAAGUGAUUAAUUUAACUAGUUAUUGACCGAUUGGUGGAGAGAUAGAGAGAAUGGGAGAGGGAAAAAGUUAAAUAUAAUUCCACUUUUUCGUAUGACCUUCAACAUGUGGAGUAUUGUACUUGUGAAUGAGUCUCUGGUCUGCUGUAUGUCUCUGGACGACCCUGUCGUCUGCAAGUGAAGGGUAUACCCGUGUCAGUACGGGUGGUAAGGAAGAGAAGCGUUGGAGCACUCUCUUAUCUCGUUGCCAGCUUUUGUGAGGGCGUUGUUCAUCGACUUCCACUCUCUACCUUACAACUCAGCCCUCUAGGGCUUUGCAUUUGCAAAUAUUUAAAAACCACCUUGUUGCUAUGUAUCAUGGACAGCUUUUCCUGUGUGCUGUGUCCUUGUUACCUGACAUUAUACAACCCACCCUGUUCGUGACAUGUGAGAAGAUCACUGCAUAUCCAUUCACGAUGCCAGGUAAACUCAAUCACGUGAUUACGCUACCUUGAUUACUCGGUUUAGUUUUAAUGCUACAAUAAACGCGAGGUAAAUCUUCUAGGACACAGUUUAUCACGGAAUUAUCUACUCGGAUUUUCUUUGUACUCAAUACAGCAUUGAGUCAGAACUAUACACUUUUCAUUUUUCAGGCACCCGUUCUUAAAUUUCUUUUUAAAACAAAAAUUUAGAGUGCGCAUGCGCACAAAGGUGCAAAAGCAAGCUGCACACCUUUUUUGACACUCCAUAGGCUGGAUGAAACCUGACUACACAAGGGUUCGACCGUUGUCACAAUCCAAACACCUGAGGUUGUAUAUCUUAUUGUUCUGUAGAACACUAGGCUAUUGUACAAACUGUAGUGGCCAGGAGGCAAUCACACCGGUGUCGCAGGGGGAGCAGGGGAAAUUUCACUGUUUGCUCGCUGAUGGUCGCCCUGUUUACCUGUCGUGACAAAGUCACCUCCAAUCUCUCCGUUGAAAUUGUAUUUUUACGAUGCUACCACACCGCAUGUUGGACAAUUUUCCCAGAAAGCAUUCUGUUCGACCAAUGGCCGAUGCAUGCGUUUUACUGCACCGAAGGCAAACAAAUUAUUUCCAAGGCUUCUUUUAUUUCUUGUAAUGUUUACUAACUUUAUAGCACACUUCACACAUGCAUGAAACCUCACUAUAAUGUUCUCAUAAUACCAAAUAGGAAAAAAAUCUAUCGCACCUGAAAUAUUUUUUUGGAGGGUGAUGGGGAGAGUCACACGGUCCCUGAUGAGUCAGGUUCAGUUGUUACUUGGUUAUGUUGUUCACAUUGCUGCCAGGAAGCUAGACUUGGUUUUAUAGGUAAAUAAACUGUCUCGUGCCAAGAGGAAAGACAGAGUGCCACAGUGUGAGUGACAUGUGUUAACUGUUAUCUCCCAAUGAUUUAAGUGCAAGAAAUGACUUCCUGGUUUCCAUGUGUGCGCCGUGCGGUUCCCAGUUUUACCUGCUGUCGUGUUAUCCCGCGAAGUUAUUUCUGAAAAAUGUCUAUCAAAAGUUGAACUCGCAAAGAAAAAGGUUCAUAUAUUUGUAUAACCCCUCCGACAAGGAAGUGAGACAUUUUGCCUGCACUUUAGCACAACCAAGGAAGUAUAAAACUGUUGGUAAUACUUGCGUUUCUCCCUACCACCCGAGGCGUGCUCAAGGUGCUUUACACACACAGAGACUGUCAUCACCGUGAGAGAGAGAGAGGAUUUUGUCCCCUCCUCAGACUGUACACACUGUCCUGAGAAUGCUCGUCAUCCAGUACACAGAGCCAGCCCCGAGCCUGUAAACACUAAACAUUUACAGUUUCCCUGAAUGUCUUUCUUUGUCAGCGAGGCGCGAACAAACGCAAGGAAGCAUUGGCUGCAUGUGAGUGCACAGGUGCACAGGUGUAAAACACAGUCAGCGGUGCACGGAGGGACUCGGCGUCUGGAGGUAGGAGGGAGGGUCUUCACUACACGAUAUCUCGAAAGCUUUCUGUAAUAAAUGUUGUCGCACAGCAGCAGUUGCUGCCUCAUCUACAGGUGUGAUGUUUGUUCUCUCUUGUUACCUUUGGGAACUUCAGCACUUGAGAAACUGUCAUUGCUAUAACACCUGCUGGUUCGACUACUACUACUCCUACUCUUACUGCUACGGGUACAAUGAGGACGACAAUCACAUGUCAAAGAAUGAAGGUGAGAAUUAAUUCCAUUCCUCGGAAACGCAAGACGAGAGGAAGACACUUUCGUUUUCGUCAACAAUUCUUUUGAAAUACAUUCUCCCUCCGGCCUUUUAAUCGCCCUGCUUUUAUGAACGGUUUUGUCCGCGCCUUCCAUUCAGGCAAGGAGGGACACCAGGAGGCCAGGGUCAAAGUGUCUCCGUUCACAGACUACAAACAUGUCUGUUUUAUGUGAUAGGGAGUGGCCAGACAAACCUCUCCAUUUUUUAACAAAAGCGCCACAGGUAAUUGAUGACCACGUGGUACUCGACUAAGAUAGUCUUUAAAAUAUUUUCGGCCUUUUCUAACCACUCUUACUGCUGAAACUUAAUCUCACAGUUUCUAAAUAAAUUAAUCAAUCAUUGCAUCCAUUAUACAUCCUUUAAAGAGAUACACCUUUACCGAAGCAUUAACUGUUGUAUCAGAGAAUCUUUAAAUAUCCCGCUUUAGAAAGCGGUGCGGCAGGUAAACUGCCUUCGUCAAAAUUCUAAAGUAAACAACUUUUAAAAAGAUUUGAA